AUACUUACCUGGGCAGGAGUUUUUUGGUGGCUAUGAAGGCCAAUGGCCUACACUCGGCUUUCCCAUUGCACUUCGGUUGCCCAGCCUACCAUCUUCCCAAAGUGGAGGAGUGGACGUUGUAAGUUGAGGGCUUGCGUACGUGUGGGA
rnacentral:snRNA from 1 species